GCGCGAAAACUUUACAAUGCUGGCAACAGCGAUAAGGGAACCUCGAGUGCCAGGUUACAAAUCUGGCUGUCGAGAUGCCUAAAAAGCAUUUCAUAGCAAGGGCCGGGCAAGACCGGUGCCAGCCGCCGCGGUAACACCGGCGGCUCGAGUGGUAACCGUUAUUAUUGGGUCUAAAGGGUCUGUAGCCGGCCGGAUAAGUCUCUUGAGAAAUCUGGCAGCUUAACUGUCAGGCUUUCAGGAGAUACUGUCUGGCUCGAGGCCGGGAGAGGUGAGAGGUACUUCAGGGGUAGGGGUGAAAUCUUGUAAUCCUUGAAGGACCACCAGUGGCGAAGGCGUCUCACCAGAACGGGCCUGACGGCAAGGGUCGAAAGCUAGGGGCACGAACCG
rnacentral:rRNA from 1 species